rnacentral:tRNA from 1 species
GCGUGUGUAGUGUAGCAGUUAGCAUGGCUGCCUCCCAAGCAAUUGAUCCGGCUUCGACUCCCGGCACAAGCG